UAGUUAUUUAUUGUACAAUUAUAAGAAGGAAUGACGAAAGUUAUUUAAUGUAAUAGGGAUGACGAACGAGCCGUAUCACCAAGCUCAAGAAGACAAAAAUACAGAGAUGUUACCAGGCUUUGGGUCAACAUCUCUCCGUCUGAAUAAAUCCCAACUUCUAUCAAGGCCGGUAAAACUGUUUCAAAGGCUGACAUUUGUGGGCUCUCCUAUCCAUUCUGCCAACACCAGUUACCCAAUGACUCAAGAAAUACUCCCAUCAGCAACGAAACUCCUCGAUGAAAACAUAAACACAACCCCGUAAGACAUCAAGCAAGGUUUAUUUGUGCGUUAUUUAUGGAAUUCAAAAAUGGUUGCCCUAAGUUAUUUUCUCGAUUAAAUAAACGUGAUAUCU